rnacentral:rRNA from 1 species
AGCUCGUAGUGAAUUUCGGGAUCAAUGAGUUGGUCGUGCCCUUGGUAUGAACUGGCUUUAUUGGUUCUCACCUUCUAAUGAACCAUAAUGUCAUUCAUUUGAUGUUUUGGGGAAUUAGGACUGUUACCUUGAAAAAAUUAGAGUGUUUAAAGCAGGCUCACGCUUGAAUACAUUAGCAUGGAAUAAUGAAAUAGGACAUCGCAUUCUAUUUUGUUGGUUUCUAGGAUCGAUGUA